AAAGACAGGAAAAAAUCAGACGUCAGAAUGAAGAUGACUUAGCCAAAUUGCAACCAAAGAAUGACUUUAGUUUGAGGAAUAGGUAUCUCUCCAGAUUAGGUGCUCAGCUGCCAGACAACUAUGUUUGCCACUUAUCUGCACUGGCACACAGAAGUGUGUUGAAAUAGCACAAUUUUGUCAAGAUAUGGAAAUGCAGUGUGAAAUUUUAUGCAACACAGGACCUCACUCUUCCGUAGCAGAGAGCUGCACAUACAGCAUGAAAAACAGAAACAUAUCAUAUGGAAAGCGGGAUUGGACCAAGAUGAAGGAGGUGUGAAAAUUGGAGGGAGAAAUAUCAAUAAUUUAAGGUAUGCAGACAAUACCAUACUACUAGCAGAAACCAGAAAUGAUUUGAAACGAAUGCUGAUGAAAGUUAGAGGAAAGCACAAAAGCAGGACUACAGCCGAAUGUCAAGAAGACUAAAGUAAUGACAACAGAAGAUUUAUGUAACUUUAAAGUUGACAAUGAGGACAUUGAACUUGUCAAGGAUUAUCAAUACCUCAGCACAGUCAUUAGCCAAAAUGGAGACAAUAGUCACGAAAUCAGAAGAAGGCUAGGACUGAGGACGGCAGCUAUGAGAGAACUAGAAAAGGUCAUCAAAUGCAAAGAUGUAUCACUGAACGCUAAAGUCAGGAUCAUUCAGACCAUGGUAUUCCCGAUCUCUAUGUAUGGAUGUGAAAGUUAGACAGAGAAAAAAGCGGAUAAGAGAAAAAUCAACUCAUUUGAAAUGUGUUGUUGGAGGAGAGCUCUGCGGAUACCACGGACUGCAGAAAAGAAAUAAUUGGGUGUUAGAACAAAUUAAACCAGAACUAGUACUAGAAGCGAAAAAGAUGAAACUGAGGUUAUCAUACUUUGGACACAUAAUGAGAAGACAUGAUACACUAGAAACCGCUAUAAUGGUGGGAAAAACAGCAGGGAGUAGAAAAAGAGGAAGGCCAAACAAGAGAUGGAUUGAUUUCAUAAAGGAAGCCAUGGACCUGAACUUACAGGAUCUGAACAGGGUGGUUCAUGACAGAUGCUAUUGGAGGUCACAGAUUCAUAGGGUUCCCAUAAGUUGUAAUCGACUUGAAGGCACAUAACAAAAGGAAGAGAGUGCCUUUGAGAAGGUCAAGGAAUUUGUGAUCAGUACUUAGAUCAAGCUCGCAAAUCUUAACACAAAAAUCUACUGCUGAUGUGUCUCUCCCACCCCCCCAGUUCUUUUUCAGCAACCAAAUUUGUGGUGUAGGUGAAAAAGCUUUCUAGUUAUUGCUGCUGUUGGACAUUUGGGAGUCAGAAACACUUGCUGAUCUAUUGCAAAGUCAUCCAGAGAUCUACCAGUAGAUCCUGAUCUAAUUAUGAAGAGGUUAAGAUGAAAACAGUGUAAAAUGUUAUGCUUGCUUCUGUAAAUCCCCUUUUAACUUAUUUAUUUACCUAUCUAUGCUGCUGAACCCUAACCCCUUCAGCCCCAGCCGGCAUGGCCAGUACUCAGGGAUGAUGGGGAGCUGCACUCCAACGACAUCUGGAGGACCACAUGUUCUCCACUCCUGCCUUAAAGGGUUCUGAAUACAAAGGAGAAAAGUGUUUAUCUUAGUCCCAGGAAAAAAGGGGUUUUUUUUGUAUUUAUUUUAACAACCAUUACACAAUAAAGGAGAAAAGAGGGGGAGGGGAAUGAAUAUUACAAGCUGAACAAUACAGAAUAAAUAGUUACAGAUAGAGUAACUAUAUAUACAAUGGAAGAAAGAGAACAUUAAACUAUAGACAUAUACUGUGGCUAAUCAAACAAUUCCUAAUAAAAAUGGUGUAUUCAGUAAGAAGAACAACUGUGCAGCUUUUAAUCCUUGGACCCACAGGAACAUAGAAGUUGCCUUUAUCAAGCCACCUCAUUGGUCCAUUUAGCUCAGUAUUGUCUAUGCUGACUGGCAGUGGCUCUCCAGGCUGGUCUGUAGCCGGGAAGCGGCAAAUGGAGGCACUGUCCAACUAGAACUGUACUUUGCCCUACUAGGAUUUUUUUUGGAGGGGUUGUCUCUUUGAUUUGUGACAUGACAGACAAUGACAACCUCCAUUUAAAGAACACCCCCACCUGGAAGAGCUCCCAAAGUCUGAUCACUCAAAACUUUCCCUGACUAAAGGGUGGAUUUUUCAUUAUCACAAUCACCCUAUCACUGGAGUGAUCCUGGAAAAACCAGCCUGUAUGACCCUUGAAGAGUUAAAUAUUAGCACUUUGUAUUAUGGGCUAGAGUGGAUUUUCCUUUGCUCUGCUUUUCAGUUGUGUUCUGUGUACAGCCAGCAAUAAAGAAGCAUGUUACUAUAUUGAUUAGAGCAGGAUUGGGUGCUUAUUCCUAAAGGGUGAAAUACAGAGAUAACUUAAAGUGAUCUGAAGAAAUGGCUACCCUAAGUUACCCUUUACUUUUUUAAAGCACUCACUGUACUCACAGUCAUAAUGGCUUUUUUCUUCUUAUCC